rnacentral:rRNA from 1 species
CGUCCCGGUUCGGAUCGCAGGCUGAAACCCGCCUGCGUGAAGUUGGAAUCGCUAGUAAUCGCGGAUCAGCAUGCCGCGGUGAAUACGUUCCCGGGCCUUGUACACACCGCCCGUCACACCAUGAGAGUCGGGAACACCCGAAGUCCGUAGUCUAACAGCAAUGGGGGCGCGGCCGAAGGUGGGUUCGAUAAUUGGGGGUGAAGUCGUAACAAGGUAAC